UACGGGGGGGGUAAGCGUUGUUCGGAAUUACUGGGCGUAAAGGGCUCGUAGGCGGCCAACUAAGUCGUACGUGAAAUCCCUCAGCUUAACUGGGGAACUGCGUGUGAUACUGGAUGGCUUGGAUUUGGGAGAGGGAUGCGGAAUUCCAGGUGUAGCGGUGAAAUGCGUAGAUAUCUGGAGGAACACCGGUGGCGAAGGCGGCAUCCUGGACCAAUAUUGACGCUGAGGAGCGAAAGCUAGGGGAGCAAACGGG
rnacentral:rRNA from 1 species